rnacentral:rRNA from 1 species
CAGCCGCCGCGGUAAUACGGAGGGUGCGAGCGUUAAUCGGAAUUACUGGGCGUAAAGGGUGCGUAGGUGGUUAAUUAAGUUAUCUGUGAAAUCCCUGGGCUCAACCUGGGCAGGUCAGAUAAAACUGUUUAACUCGAGUAUGGGAGAGGGUAGUGGAAUUUCCGGUGUAGCGGUGAAAUGCGUAGAGAUCGGAAGGAACACCAGUGGCGAAGGCGGCUACCUGGCCUAAUACUGACACUGAGGCACGAAAGCGUGGGGAGCAAACAGGAUUAGAUACCCUGGUAGUCCGCGCUGUAAACGAUGUCAACUAGCUGUUGGAUAUAUGAAUAUAUUUAGUGGCGAAGCAAACGCGAUAAGUUGACCGCCUGGGGAGUACGGUCGCAAGAUUAAAACUCAAAGGAAUUGACGG